CUUCAUGGUUUGAUGGAGAAUUUUACACUAAUGCAGAGUAUUACCUAGUUAAUUUGACUAGAAUAGACAGUGAUUUUACAUGGUGAGACUGUUGCCUCCUGAGCUAACAGUUCCAUUACCAGGGGUGGGGCAGACCACUCUCCUUGAAUCUGAUGAGCUGAGGGCCGGCUGCAGAUGGGCUUGCUGGGAGCUCCCCGGGGAGGCUGGACAACAGGAAGGGGGCCAAGGAAAGGCUUGCGAUAAUUCACUGCUUCCUUUGGUCACUCACUUGCUGAUGAGUUCCUUCCUUUACUCAAUAACUGACUCAUUCGUUAUUCCCUAAUUAAGUCCAUCCAUCUCAUUUCCUUCCUUCGACAAGCUGGCAGUGUGUGCCUGUGAGGCGCCAGGCCCAGUGGUGUGUCCUGGGGGUACAAGAUGCCUAAGCCCACUCCUUGCCCGUUGGGUACUCACAGACAUGCUGGAGAAAACAGUUGCAAACAUCUAAGCGCACCACAGUAGACCCAGAGUGAAUCCAAACCCCUGUGGGAGCCUGGAGGAGAGGCUGGCAGCUUGGGAGGCUGGGGCAGACCCGGCACAGGGCUGAGACCUAACCGGAAUCUUCCACUGGCCAAGUGUGUGAGGGGACUGGACCAACAGUGGGGUCAGCAGCUGGGUGCAGAGAAAUGAACUUCUGGUGCUGGUGGCCACCUGGGAUCUACCUCUAAGUUCCUGCUGCCAGACUGGCCCAUGGAACAUUCUCUGUGUGAUGGCUGUCCUGGCUGCCCAACUAGAAGAACACAGGUCUAUGGGAAGUUAGAGGCUGUGUUUAUUCGCCUGGAUCUCAUCUCACACGGUGCCGGGCACACGAGGAGUAUUGAGUGCCUGUAUGCUAAAUACAUGAGUGCCUCGAAACCACCACCCUCUCAAUCACUUUACAGAGGAAGAAGCUGGAGUCCACAGAGCUUCUUCCAAUCCAGGCUGAGAAAGGGGCCCGUGAAGUGCUGCUGGGAUGAGGACCUGGGUCUCGUUCAAGAGCAAGGGCACACACGUCCCUGGGUCUGCACCUAACACUACUGCGUAUGGCUCCAGGCCAAAUCUCCAAAUGAAAUCAGGCCGGGGAGAAAUGAACAACCGAGAUGCACAAAACAAUGUGAAGAAGAAACGAAUAAUAAUAUAAAAAAAAAAGUCGGUGGUUGAAGCCCAAGAUGAGCCGUGGGAGGGGCUCAGGACAUGACACGAUGUGAGGGGUGGACUGCUGUGUGCCAACAGUGGUGAUGAUUGACAACAUCCAACAGCGUUCUGGACACCUUUCUCCUUCACAGUUCCAAAAGCACAUUUAUUUGCUGUGCCUCUCGCCCCCUGCCCUGCACUGCCUGGCGUGGGGUGCUGCCCACAGUGGGUGCUCAAUCAAUGCUGCAGGCUGAUUGGUGAUUGGCAUCAGCAGUUUUGACUCCACGCCGGGAGUCGAGUCUCCAGCCCUGGACUAACUACCCAGCACCCUUUUAUGGGAGCUGAUUUGGGGGAGACUAGCCUUGAGGUGAGACAGCAGCAGAGUUUCUCAAAUGGAAAGGUCUUCGAAGAGAAGGGCUGGGGGCCUGCCAGGAGCCACCUCGCCUCUGCUACGGGCUUUCUCAGUCCAGCCAACGGAGAGGCCCCAGACAGCUUCCGCAGCCAGGAGCUUUGACUUCGCACUCAAGUCCAUGUCUUGAGCCUAAACAAUCCCGUCCACGAUCCACAUAACGUUUGAUCAUCAAGUCUCCGUAGCUGCUGGUCUGUGACACUUUUUCAGUCUUUCCUUGUUGUUCAUGGCCUAGACAGUUUUGAAGAUACUGGUCAGGUACAAAAAAGGACACUGGAAGAAUGGGAGCACAUCGUCUGUGGUUGGACAGCUGGUGGGUGGUCAUUGCCGGGAUUUGAACUUACGUCUGCCUGGGUCCAGCGCUCUUUCCACUACACCAAGCUGCCAAUAGAAAAAAAGAAGAGAGUAUCGACCUCACCGGGAUUAAAUGUGAUAAUGGGAAGGAGAUAGUGGAUUAUGGACCCUCUCCAGGUGGUGGUCAGAGGAUAUCAGACCAGCCAAAACGAAUCUGUGGUGAUUGAAGGCAAGUGGCCACUUUUGGAGAAGAAGGCCGGAACAGAGUUAGUGUGACUGGAACAGACUAAGAAAAGCUUUUGGAGUGCUGUGACUUAUCUGUUUCUUGAUCCAGUGGGAGUGGUACUACUAUGUUUACUUUUUGUGUAUAUUCUACUUCGAUAAAAAUCUUUUUAUAAAAAUCGGAGGCAGGUUUUCAAAAAGGAAGCAGGCAAAGAAGACCGUGGACUAUGAACGUCCUCUACCACCAGGAGUGUGCUAAACAUCCAGUCCCCUGGGCAGAUCUGUGCAUAUCCGGCCUGGCAAGGGGAAAGCUGAAGAGCUGGCCAUCCACCCCACGUUGAGGAAUGAAUGUUUCAGCGGCAAGGCUCAUGCUUGUUUCCACCCCGCCCCCUGACUAAGUCAGGACACUUGGACAAAAGCUACAUACCCCAGACAGCCCCCACUGCCUCUACAGAGGUCGUGCGCCAGGCCCUGCAAUCCUGCUGUGACUCUGCCCAUCUCUUUCCCGCUAAGAGCAAACGGAAAUGCCGGGUGCGGUGCAAGAGACAUUAUGAUAAGCUAAGCUCUCUUUCAGAUCUUCUCUCUUUCUCAAAUAAAAGCUUCUCGGACUUGAUGCCGUAUGAUUGGUAACAAAGUACUCGCAGUGCGCCUCACUGCGACGAGGGCAUAGAAACCAACAGCCAAGCACACUGUAAGGAACACACGUGUGGCAGGGCAUGAGAGUAUAAGAGCCUCUGGGUAGGGCGAUUUAUGAGCACUCAGCAAACGUCUGAGUGCCUACUUGGUGCCGGGCUCUGUGCUAGGUGUGGGGCAUGACUGCUUGUUCCAAGAGUAACUGGAAUCUAUGAAUAUCUUUAAGAAUGGUUUAGAAAAUCACCUAAGCAGGGAUGCGUGGGUGGCUCAGUCGGUUAAGCAUCGGACUUUGGCUCAGGUCAUGAUUCAUGGUUUGUGAGUUUGAGCCCCACGUCAGGUUCUGCGCUGACAGCUCAGAGCCUGGGGCCUACUAGGAUCCUGUGUCUCCCUCUCUCUCUGCCCCUCCCCUGCUUGCACUCUGUCUCUGUCUCUGUCUCUGUCUCUGUCUCUCUCAAGAAUAAAUAAGCAUUUAAAGAAAAAAGAAAGUAAAUCACCCAAGCAGAGAUCAGGCAGAAAAUGGGCAAGGCCAGAGGCACGUGGGUGACUCUGUUGGUUAAGUGCCCAACUCUUGAUUUCCACUCAGGUCAUGAUCUCAUAGUUGGUGGGAAGGAGCCCUGCAUGGUGCUCUGUGCUGACA